GCUGCGAAGCUCUGCUGGCUGUUGCCAUCACCGGGCAUGCUUCAUAGCGAUGAUGAAUUGGCUUGGGGAUCUGUGAUUUUGAGCAGCGGCUUUGGAAGUUGGGGCGAUAGCACAAGAGAAGUUCAGAGUCCUACCUUCUAGGGUGAAAAUCCAAGGUGUGGCAUUAAUUGGUUGUACCUGCCAAUGACCUUUUUCAAGACAUUGUUUUUGGGAGCGACGACUUUUAUUCAGGGUGAAAACCUAAGAUCUAUGAUCGAACGACGACGGCGCUUGUGCGCUGUUUUCUUCUUGGAUGCGUCAUUUUUUGGAGAACUUGCACUUCUAGUGCUGUCUAGGUGGUGUUAGUACUGUGCUGCUUCAAAGAAUAGAUCUCAGUAGCGGGACUGUUUCUUUUAGUGCAAUUCUUUUUUUGGCUGUGUGCAUCUGUAAUGCCUCUAGGGCAGCGCGUUGUUACAUAGACGGUGUUACAAGGAUAAAGUUCCACCUUGCUUGCAUUAAAGGAUUCAAUGUUAAACCUUGCCCAAAGGUAGUGAUGUCAAGAAAGAGAUGACUAUGUUGCUCCUGAUGAGUAAUGAUGCAAAGGAGAAGAAAAUAGAGGCAUUGGAAAAUGUGAGAGGUAAAGUUAACUUGGAUCACUCGGAGGGAGAAGAAUCUGAUGAAGAUAAUGGCAAUGCUAUUGUGAUGCUGAAGUCAAAACCCAACACUAGUAGCCUCAAAAGUGGAUCUAUUGAUAAGUUCUACAGGUCAAGUACUAUAGAAGAAUCUGUCCAGAAGAAAAGCCUUAGUGAAAAGACUCAGUCAAAACUGUCAACACAAGAAAGAGAGGUGAAGAGGAAUAGAGCUUGUGAGUACAUAUGCCAAUUCUUCUAUGAAGCUAGCAUCCCACACAACGUUGUCACACUUCCUAGCUUUGCUUGUAUGCUUGAGGCUGUAGGACGUUUUGGCAAAGAUUUGCAAGGGCCUAGUGCAUAUGAGAUGAGUGGGCCAUUUUUGCAGAAAAGGAAGAAAAAGGUGAUGGAUACAUUCAAGAGCCAUAGGGAAACAUGGGAGCUUACCGGAUGUACAGAGCAUGACUCAUGACUGAUGCGUGGAAAGAUAGAAAGCACAGGGGAGUAAUGAACCCAGUUGUUCAUAGUGCUCACGGUGCUUUAUUUUUGAACUCGGUUGAUUGCUCGGCUGUCAAAAAAGAUGGCAGAUACAUUUUUGUGCUUGUUGAUCAGUGCAUUGAAGAUAUAUGGGCUGAAAAGGUUAUACAAGUGGUGACUGACAAUGCUAGUGUCAAUAUAGCUGCAGCAAAUCUAUUAAAAGCAAAGAGACCCUCCAUUUUUUGGAAUGGAUGUGCAGCCCACACAAUUGAUCUCAUGUUGGAGGACAUAGGGAAUCUUACAGAGGUUGACAAAACAAUUACCCAAGCAAGGCAAUUGAUUGUGUUCUUGUAUGCUCAUAUAAGGGUGUUGGCUUUGAUGAGGAGUGUCCUUAAGAAAGACCUCGUGCGCUCGGGUGUUACAGGGUUUGGCACAACUUAUCUCAAUCUAAAAAGCUUGAAAGAUACCAAGAAUGGGCUGCAAAAACUAUUCAGAUCAGAUGAGCUACAUGAGAUGGGCUACUUAAAUAAGGGCAAAGGGGACAAAGCUAAAAAAGUGGUGAAAUCUGAAGCCUUUUGGAAACGUGUUGAUAUUUCUGUCGAUUUCUUUGAGCCAAUGGCCAAUGUGUUGAGAAGAAUGGAUAGUGAUGUGCCAGCAAUGGGAUUCUUCUAUGGUUGCAUGUUAGAUGCAAAAAAAAGAAAUUUUGUUGAGGUUCGACAAUGACGAGAGCCACUGCAGAUCUGUUUUGGAUAUCAUCGACAAUCGUUGUGACAACAAGCUCAAGAAGCCUCUACAUUUGGCUGGUUACUGUUUGAACCCCUACUACUACUAUCCAAACAAGGGUCAGAUUGAAAAACAAGGAAAAUUUAGAGCAGCCUUUACGACGAUGAUUGAGGAAGAUGACGAACAAGAUGUGAUGAUUGAAGAAAUCAAGACAUAUCGAGCUGGGAAGGAGUCUUUUGGAACUGAUAUUGCCACAAGACAGAGGAAGAACCAAAACUUUGAUCCAGCAACAUGGUGGCUGAAUCAUGACACAAGCUCACCAAACUUGAACAAUUUGGCGGUAAAGAUUCUUAGUCUGACAUGCAGCUCAUCCGCUCGUGAGAGAAAUUUUUCAGCAUUUGAACAUGUCCAUACAAAGAAGCGCAGUAGGCUACUUGUGAUAGGCUUAAAGACCUUGUCUUUGUCAAAGUCAACUCAAGGAUGAUUGAUAAGAGAGAGAACAAGAGAAGAGAUCCCAUAGAGAAGAUAAUUGAGGAUGCUCUGGACGAUGACUAGAACGAGUCCAUUACUGGGAUUGUUCCUGAAGCCAUUGUUGAAGUCGAACAAGAACAACCUGAUAUUGAAAAUCAAUAACCAGAAGCAUCAACAUCACAAGCCCACCGAAAGAGACAUGCACACAUUAGGAAGAAGAGGAAGAAGAGCAUCCAUUCUUUGCUUAAUUCUGUCCAAGAAGACGCUGUACUUUCUGAUUCUUCCAAUUCUUCAUCAUCGGAAUCAGAAGGUAAUCAACCUCCACAUGAUGACAAGCUCUCUGAUGCUUCAGAUGACUCAGAGUGAUCGCAGGCAUGUCUUGUUGGUUAUGUAAACUUGCUAUUGCUUGCUGUGAACCAAAACUUUGUUGUGAACUUGGUGUAGCUCUGUUGUUGAUAUGUAAUUUGUGGACAAAACAAGGUCCUGAACUUUCUGUUGCUACAUGCUACUUGCUUUUGUUGGUUAUGUAAUAUUUGGACAGAACUAUGUCUUAAAUUGUUGCCUCUUA